GAGGAACCCAAAGAGGACGAGAAGGGUCUGGCUGCAGACCAUGGGCGAGUGGAGCUCCACUCUCAAACCGGAAAUACGUCACCUCCACUUGAAAACAUCAAGAUGGCGUCGCCGGGAGUACUUCAAACUUAAACUCAGGGAUAGGAUUGGCAUAGAAGAUGCAGCACUCUUUACAUUUUAAAUAUCAAAUGUAUAUCAAGUGUUAUCCAUCCUCAUAACACCUCCACAAAUAGAGACUGAAACUUCUGAGCACCAUCACCUUGUCUGCUAUGGGACUGUCAUAGGAGAAUGAUGCACCCAGCAAUCAGAUGCAUCAGAACAACAAAGCACAACUGUGGUGCCCCAGGCACCUUCAGCAACAAGUAAAUUGCUUUAACAUUAAUGAUAAUUAAAUGUCAGUAUUGUAAUUAAACUUGACCCAUCUGACGUAAUUGUUCAUGCCAGAGAUUUAACAACACUGUCAGUCAGGAGCAUAUUUAACAGGAGGCACACUUCAGCUGGCUUGAUGGUGACUUCAGUAAGUGUGGUCAACCCUCUUGUUUUUGUGGCUAUAACAAUUAGACUAAGUAAUCUCACUCUCUUCCAUUUCCCUAACAUUACCCUUUUUUUUUGUUGAUACUGAAAAGGUGCAGUGAAGAAAUUUAAAGAGACACUAUCUAAAGUACAGAAAGCCGUACAUAAUCUCUAGGUGCAGUCGCCUACAGCGCAGCCAGCUUCACAAAGACUGUGGGGCUGGUCACCAGGAAAAUGGCCAACAAGGAGUGCUUUUGGGGUUUUACUCCUCAGAUGACCACCCUGGCUACUGUAGCUGGGAUUGCUUCACAGACAAUGGAGGUCUUGAAGAGUAAAGUGUGCGUGCAUGUGAACACAUUGUGUUAUUACAGUAACAAUUAUGGUCACUUGCAGUUCAUGUGUUUUCAAUGUAGUGUAAGAUGUGUUAAUUAUUAUUAUUACUCAAAAACCAUUAAAACUUCUAAAUUGUGGAAGUUAUUCUUCA